rnacentral:lncRNA from 1 species
CGCAAACGUACUUCAGAUAGCAAAAUACAGCUCAACAUUAGCCAAAGGAAGCUGAAAUCGAAGGCUAAGGCUCGAAGUGUUCAACAGCAGUUACAACAGCAUUCCAGAUCCGAAACAUCACUUGAAAAAACCAGAAAAUGGAAGCACGCAGCAGAAGGCUGUAAACUCGACUUUCACGGCUUGCACAAACCAGCAAAGAAGAAAUUGAAAUUUGAAAUCAGAUUUUUUCCACGUUCCUUUGGAAAAAUUCAGAUUCUACUUUUGAUUUGUUUUUGUUCAAUUUUUUUUAUUUUUGUUUUCAUCUUUAUUUCCGGGUGUGUAUUUUAAGAAGGUGAUGAAGUAACCGAAGAAAGGGAGCUGGAGAUUUUCUAUCUCUGUUUUUGGGUGUAAGGAUCUCCAGCGCUAAUUUUGGGAAGCUGCGUUCUUUCUUUUUUUUUUU